UGGGGAAUAUUGCACAAUGGGCGCAAGCCUGAUGCAGCCAUGCCGCGUGUAUGAAGAAGGCCUUCGGGUUGUAAAGUACUUUCAGUCGGGAGGAAGGUGUCAAGGUUAAUAACCUUGGCAAUUGACGUUACCGACAGAAGAAGCACCGGCUAACUCCGUGCCAGCAGCCGCGGUAAUACGGAGGGUGCAAGCGUUAAUCGGAAUUACUGGGCGUAAAGCGCACGCAGGCGGUUUGUUAAGUCAGAUGUGAAAUCCCGGGCUCAACCUGGGAACUGCAUCUGAUACUGGCAAGCUUGAGUCUCGUAGAGGGGGGUAGAAUUCCAGGUGUAGCGGUGAAAUGCGUAGAGAUCUGGAGGAAUACCGGUGGCGAAGGCGGCCCCCUGGACGAAGACUGACGCUCAGGUGCGAAAGCGUGGGGAGCAAACAGG
rnacentral:rRNA from 1 species